UUAUAUGAGAAGCUGCGAAAAUCUUAUGACCAUUUGUAUCGGGGUGUAUCAUCUCUAGCUGAAGUUGAUAUGCAACCUCCAGUGAUGCCUGAGGAUGGUCAUACUACGAGGGUAACUAGUGGAAAUAGAUGAUUCUUCUUCUUCUGCUGGAAAGGAAUCUUCUGCUGCUGAAGCUGUGUGGGAUGAUGAAGAUAUAUACAAGAGCUUUCUAUGAGUGUUUGCCUGAUCUUAGAGCAUUUGUUCCCGCAGUUUUAUUGGGGGAAGCUGAUUCAAAAUCUAGUGAGCACCGCCAUAAAAUCAGCCUGGGGAAAUCCAAACUGGUAAAAGAAUAUCGUAUGAAGCAUUACAUGUCAACAAUGAAGAAGAGGUUGUUAAACGAAAUUUGGUUUUUUAUUUUAUUUUUUUGGACGAAAAUUGUAAUAUUAUAGCC